CUAUCCCAGAUCACCCUUCGCACCUCCCCUGGUGAGAGUUGAGAGGUCUCAAGCAGGAUCACAAAACUGAGAAGGGUCAGAGGCCGGGAAAGAAACUGGCCUCUCCAGCAGGAAGCAGCUGCCCCCAGGCCCUGGCUCCAGGAUCUUGACAGGCCUGUUAAAGAACGAGCUCCCGAGAACACGCAGCCAGCCGUGCAGUAAAUGCUCAUUGGUUGCCUGCCAGGAUCCAAGCUAAUAAUGGAGUCGCCUUAUGUUCAGCUCUGCAUCCCCCAGGCAAAGAACUGUGCCUGCCAUUUAGAAGGUGCUCAAUAGCUUGGGGCCCACGGUUCCCCACUCCUGUCCAAUGCAGCUGGCGGAAGAAGCCAUUGCAAGUCUCGUCGAGCUGAGCGCCAUGCACCAGGUUGCAUUCUGCAUUUUGGACUGCGUUCCCCAGGUUCUUUCACAUUUCCAAGGAGCAGAAACAGACCUGGAUCCCCUGAAAUAACAGGGAGGUUUUGCCCUAAUUCACACAGAGUUAAGAAAGAAUUUCCUAACAGCCCAACCUCGCGGAAAAGCUGCGGCCCUAGCUCCGGGGACUGGAACGCAAGCUCGGGGCCCUCCCCCUUCCCUGCCUGGCUAGUCCUGUCCUCCCUCUCGCCUCCAUCCCCUCCUCCCCCGCACUGAGAGAAUGCGCCACGUGUCCCUCCUCGGUGGUCCUGGAAUUUUCUGUGCGUCUCUGAAUCAUGGCACCGGUCUUGCUUCAUUGCUUUGGACUCCUUCGCACACGUUUGCGAACUCAUCACCCUUUGCUCUCCAGGAUCCACCGGCCGCUUCUAAGAGGACACCAUAGUUCAUAGAUGGAUUGAUCUAGAAAGGUGUCUCCUUCAUUCUCCCCCACAAUUUCUGGGUGGAAAGCCUGGUGGAGGCAGGGGGACAAUUACA